rnacentral:tRNA from 1 species
GGGGUUGUGGCUCAGUGGUAGAGCGCUCGCCUUGCACAUGAGAGACCCUGGGUUCAAUCUUCAGCAUCACAU